AGCCCCUCUCCCCUCUCAUCCACACUCAGACCAGAGGGCCCUCUGCCUGCCCCGCCCCCACCAUGAGCCCCUGCCUCCUGGGCUGUGUGGUCCUCUGUCUCCUGCAGGCAGGGGUGGUCCACGCUGGUGUCACUCAAGACCCCAGAUUCCAGGUCGUGAGGACAGGACAGAGGACAACACUGAAAUGUACUCAGGAUAUGUACCACGACAGUAUGUACUGGUACCGACAAGACCUGGGACACGGGCUGAGGCUGAUUCAUUAUUCAUCUGCCACUGACACCACUUACCAAGGAGAUGUGCCCGAAGGCUACAGUGUCUCCAGAUCAAGGGCAGAGAACUUCCCUCUCACGCUGGAGUCCGCCAACCCCUCCCAGACGUCUGUGUACUUCUGCGCCAGCAGUUACUCCACAGCGCUGCAGGGUCACCUCCUCUCUGUGCAAAAUGACAGGGGAGGCCCUUGUAGGCUCCUAGGACUGGGAGCCUCUGGGCUUUGCUGCCACGUGCCUGCAGUGUGA